rnacentral:rRNA from 1 species
GUCCACGCCGUAAACGAUGAUCACUCGAUAUUGGCGAUAUACUGUCAGUGUCCAAGCGAAAGUGUUAAGUGAUCCACCUGGGGAGUACGUUCGCAAGAAUGAAACUCAAAGGAAUUGACGGGGGCCCGCACAAGCGGUGGAGCAUGUGGUUUAAUUCGAUGAUACGCGAGGAACCUUACCAGGGCUUAAAUGCAGAACGACAGGCUGGGAAACCAGCCCUUCUUCGGACGGACUGCAAGGUGC